UAGUCUUCAAAGAUGUUGGUCCCUCUGUUGAUGCAAGUUCACAUCAGCAAAGAGGAAAGUCUCCUGAACCCAGAUGUUUGUCCAUGAAGAGUGAUCAGUCUAUUGGUCUUCCUUUCAACUUCAAAGAUAGACGCCGUUCUUAUGACCCAGAAGAGGACCAGGAGAGCUCAGAGGUUCCCACAGGUCCGUCUGCCCAGCAGCAUCAAAC